UGGGGAAUAUUGGACAAUGGGCGAAAGCCUGAUCCAGCCAUGCCGCGUGUGUGAAGAAGGUCUUCGGAUUGUAAAGCACUUUAAGUUGGGAGGAAGGGCAGUAAGCGAAUACCUUGCUGUUUUGACGUUACCGACAGAAUAAGCACCGGCUAACUCUGUGCCAGCAGCCGCGGUAAUACAGAGGGUGCAAGCGUUAAUUGGAAUUACUGGGCGUAAAGCGCGCGUAGGUGGUUCGUUAAGUUGAAUGUGAAAGCCCCGGGCUCAACCUGGGAACUGCAUACAAAACUGGCGAGCUAGAGUAGGGCAGAGGGUGGUGGAAUUUCAUGUGUAGCGGUGAAAUGCGUAGAUAUAGGAAGGAACACCAGUGGCGAAGGCGACAACCUGGGCUCAUACUGACACUGAGGUGCGAAAGCGUGGGGAGCAAACAGG
rnacentral:rRNA from 1 species